rnacentral:rRNA from 1 species
ACUCAAAUGAAUUGACGGGGGCCCGCACAAGCAGCGGAGCGUGUGGUUUAAUUCGACGCGACGCGAAGAACCUUACCCAGGCUUGACAUGGCGCUGAACGGCUCCGAAAGGAGUCAGGCCCUUCGGGGACAGCGUCACCGGUGUUGCAUGGCUGUCGUCAGCUCGUGCCGUGAGGUGUUGGGUUAAGUCCCGCAACGAGCGCAACCCCCGUGCCUAGUUAGGCUGUCUAGGCAGACUGCCGGCAGAGAGUCGGAGGAAGGCGGGGACGACGUCAAGUCAGCAUGGCCCGUACGUCUGGGGCGACACACACGCUACAAUGGCCGGUACAAUGGGCGGCGAGGCCGCAAGGCGGAGCGAAUCCCAGCAAAGCCGGUCUCAGUUCGGAUUGGGGGCUGCAACUCGCCCCCAUGAAGGCGGAGUUGCUAGUAACUGCCGGUCAGCACACGGCGGUGAAUAUGUUCCCGGGCCUUGUACACACCGCCCGU